rnacentral:rRNA from 1 species
GAUGAACGCUGGCGGCGUGCCUAAUACAUGCAAGUCGAGCGAACAGAUGAGGAGCUUGCUCCUCUGACGUUAGCGGCGGACGGGUGAGUAACACGUGGAUAACCUACCUAUAAGACUGGGAUAACUUCGGGAAACCGGAGCUAAUACCGGAUAAUAUAUUGAACCGCAUGGUUCAAUAGUGAAAGACGGUUUUGCUGGCACUUGUGGAUGGAUCCGCGCCGCAUUAGCUAGUUGGUAGGGUAACGGCUUACCAAGGCAAUGAUGCGUAGCCGGCCUGAGAGGGUGACCGGCCACAUUGGGACUGAGAUACGGCCCAGACUCCUACGGGAGGCAGCAGUGGGGAAUAUUGCAAAAUGGGCGGAAGCCUGAUGCAGCAACGCCGCGUGCGGGAUGACGGCCUUCGGGUUGUAAACCGCUUUCGCCUGUGACGAAGCGUGAGUGACGGUAAUGGGUAAAGAAGCACCGGCUAACUACGUG